rnacentral:lncRNA from 1 species
AGAGCUUCCAUUGGGUUGAACCUAGGGUGCUGCCCAACAUCCCUGACUCUCAUGACUGGUUGUGUUAAAAGAACAGUCAGUUCUCAAUCUCUUUGAGAAAUUUCAAUCAUCCUUUGUUUGUGAAGCCGAUUCUACUCUUGGAAGCCAGAGAUGGCGGGCAACAGCCUGUGUACUACCAUGUUAAGAGUUGCAGAAAGGUAGAGGUCUGUUCUUGUUUGUUGAGCACAGUCCUCCUGGUCUGUGAACUGGAGAGCACAUUUGUCUCAACCAGCCUGAAUGUUUUUCUUUCCAGUUCCCGGACAUCAGUCAAGAGUCUGACUCUCCAUUUGUCUUCAUCUGCAAAAAUCCCCAGGAAAUGGUUGUGAAGUUCCCUAUUAAAGGAAAUCCUAAAAUCUGGAAACUGGAUUCCAAGAUCCAUCAAGGAGCAAAGAAGGGGUUAAUGAAGCAGAAUAAAGCUGUCUGACCCAGGAAAAAAGGAACUAUACAACAUAGUGGAGUCUUGUGUACUAAAUUGCUAUCCGCUGGUCCUUUGGGAUGGAAGCAGUAGAAAGCUAAAAGGCUUGGCACCAGGCUUCGGUCUCUGAGAAUUUAAACUCUUACCAAAUCUGUAUAUUUUUUUCUUAAAGGAUGGGAUUCUUUAUGUAGUGGGUCAAAAAUCUUUAAAUAUGUUAUUUAUAAAAACUCAUUUU